rnacentral:misc_RNA from 1 species
UCAGCAGUGUUGUGUUCCCAGUGC